GUGCCACAGUCCAUGGGGUUGCAAAGAGUUGGACACGACUGAACGACUGAACUGAACUGAUGCCUAACUUAGAAGGCUGGAGGUAUUUCUGCAAGCCCACAGCUGGAGAUGGAGCGCAGUGCUCAGCCCGGUCUACUCCGGAACUUGCUCCGAGCGGCGGAACGGGCGCACUUCCUUCUAUGGACACAAGAUGGCAACAUAGACCAGGCUUCAGAACAGGUGGCGACCUUGGAAUCAAUCCAGAAAGGCAACUUGGUCUCCCAGACUGCCCAGGAAGUCUUCCUUCAGGCCAGCCAGCUUUUCUAGAAGGUUCUCCAGGGAGUCAGUCCCAGGGCUCUGCCUCUGGAGUCUCUGCGCUUCCCUCACUUGCCUCUAGAUGGAAGAUUUCCUCACCUGGUGCCCAACAGGCUCCCCCUGCGGCCACAUCCAGCAAACCUGUGGAUGCUAGAAUUCUCAGAACCAAAUGCAGCCCUUAUCUUCUGCCGCAAAGCGUGACAGGCUUGUGUGUGGCUGUUAUCAAGCAUCAUUUGCUAUGUCCGUUUUUGGGGACAGAGAGGAGGACACAGGGUCCCUGCCUGAGUCUAGAGGAGGAGACAGGAAAUAGAUGUGACCAUGCAG
ensembl:lncRNA